CUGACGCUAAUACCUGAUGAGGCAUUAAUGUCAAAGAUUUUAUCGGAAAAGGAUGAGUCUGCGUCUGAUUAGCUAGUUGGUAAGGUAAUGGCUUACCAAGGCUACGAUCAGUAGCUGGUUUGAGAGGAUGAUCAGCCACACUGGAACUGAGACACGGUCCAGACUCCUACGGGAGGCAGCAGUGAGGAAUUUUGGGCAAUGGGGGCAACCCUGACCCAGCGACGCCGCGUGCAGGAUGACGGCCCUUCGGGUUGUAAACUGCUUUCGGGUGAGAAGAAAAGCCGGUUUAACCGGCUGGGACUGUACCACCAGAAGAAGCACCGGCUAACUACGUGCCAGCAGCCGCGGUAAUACGUAGGGUGCAAGCGUUAUCCGGAAUCACUGGGUGUAAAGGGUGUGUAGGCGGAUUUGUGCGUCAGAGGUUAAAUAUCCAGGCUCAACUUGGAAAAUGCCUUUGAUACGGCAAAUCUUGAGUAUAAG
rnacentral:rRNA from 1 species